ACCCCGAUUGGCCACCGUGCUCACAGCCCACUGCAUUGUCGCCUCUGACGGGUGCAGAUGGUGCACAGAGGCCACCACUCUGCCACACAUGCUGGGAGAUGUAGUUCUUAGAAUAUUUAAACACCAGCAAAAACUACAGUUAUUAAAGAGAACAGUGCCUAAGGGACUGAGCUGAGCUUGUAAGAAGAGCACGCCUGCUUGCUAAUGAUUACAGCGGUAGCAGAAUUCCAUCUAGGGCUGGAUACCAAGCUUGUUCCAUUGCAGAUUGACUUAUAUAAUUUGGUCUGAAGAUAAUUCAUCUUAGAGAAGAUGAUGCACUCAAAACAGAGAAGAUGUUAAGAGGCUUUUGAAACUAUAAAGCAGUCCCACUGCGGCCAGUAAUGCCUGUAAUCUCAGCACUUUGAGAGACCAAAGUGGGAGGAUCACUUGAGCCCAGGAAUUCAAGCCCACCCUGGGCAACACAGCAAGACCCUGCCACUCCAUUAUUUUUUAAAAUAAAAAAUAAAUAAAUAAAAAUUGAUCGCCGAUCCAGGAACACACAUUACAGCAAGCUGCCAUCGUUGGGGUCAUCUGCCCCUUUGGGAAGG
rnacentral:lncRNA from 1 species